rnacentral:tRNA from 1 species
GCUCAAUUGGUUAUGUGCCUGACUUCAGCUCAGGUCAUGAUCUCAUGGUUUGUGGGUUCAAGCCCCACAUUGGGCU